AUCCUUACCUGGCAGGGGAGAGACCAGGAUCACAAAGAUGGCUUUCGCAGGGUGAGUCUGAUCCAUUGUACUCCGGAGGUUCUGAUCCCUGUGAUUUUUCCCAAAUGUGUGAAACUCGACUGCAUAAUUUGUGGUAGUGGGAGGCUGCAUGCAUGUACACCCCUG
ensembl:snRNA U1 U1 spliceosomal RNA